AAAGAAGGGUUCCUCAAGGAUUUAGUGGAUAGCUAAUGGCUUUGUACGUCUACUUAAGAGUCUUUUCUGAAGGGAAACCCUUAUUGUAGAUUUUUACAUAGAACUUUUUAGGGUUCUCUCAGAAGAACAAAUUGAGGAACCUUUGAGUAAUCCAGAGUCUUGUAUGAGGUGGGAAUACACCAUGAUGACACCAUGACACCAUGGGGCAGUUUGGCAGUUUGUGUCCAAUCAACUUACUGUGACUGUCUUAGAAACAAAGAGUGAUGGUGCUACACAUCACAGUGCAAUGAAGGGAAUCUGACCCUGUACUUACAGAUCCAGACAGACUGGUUUCGUCCUGUCACUGGAACACCAACACCCAAGUUUCUACCUGGAUAUGAGCGUUCUUUGGAACAAAACUACAACAUUAUGCAAAACAGCCCUUAAGUACAAAAAUCUCCUAAUUAUUUUGAUGUAAAACACAAUUGCUUAUAAGUAGUAUGACCAUAUAUAGAAGAUCUGAGUGAGAAGCUGAGUGGAAUGUGUAUGUGUAUCUUGCCGAUCAGAGAAAAUCUGGAACGGAAAUGCUUGUCAUAGCACAGGUUGCAAUGCAACGAUUCAGAGAAGCUCUGUUGCCAGAACUGCAGAUGUCUACAAUGUUUGUCUGUCAUAUUUAUGUUGUGAUGUUCAUUCAUUAAUCUUCAGUAACCUCUUUAUCUUAGUCAGGUUCAUGCUGGAUCUGGAUCAACACCCUCACUCACUGAGUGUGAUGUAGAAAUAUACCCGUAUGUGAUAUUAAAUGUAUUGUAUUUUGUACAGAUAAAAUACAUUUAUUUAAAUAUGUUACAGAAUAAAGCUUUUCAAAGUGUGUAAAAUCAAUAACGGCAUAAUACUAUAAAGGUAGUCAAACUAAAUGAGCAAAAUAUAUAUAUACAUUUAUAUAUAUAUAUAUAUAUAUAAUUUUAUUAUUUUUUUUUUUUGGUGAGUGUGUUACUAUUGCAGUUGUAUGUGAAAAAUGAAAAACAUUCACAUUUAUUUGUCCUUGCCACAGCACAUGCUGCUGUAAUUACAGUGUUGCUCCAGCAAUUGAGUGCAUUUUACAUAUUUUGCUGGGACAAUAUAUUGCAUAAAGGCUUUCAUUAGCCAAAUGUAGGUGUUAACUGAGUGAAACCCGUUGCACAGAAAUGGAUCCAAGUGGAAAGGAGGUCUAAUCCAUAGCUCAGUUUCAAUUCUUUUACAUGUCAAGCAGUCCACAUUUGUUUAAUCUCACACCCUCCAGUAUCAAUGUUGUUUUUUCUUCUAUUGUUGUGUUCUCAGGAGAACCCACCCGUCUCCCUCCCUUCUCCAAAAACAGUCAUGGGUGUUCAAAUGCAUAGAUUCUGAAAAGAGUUUAUGAUAUAAAAGGAUGAUUAAAAAUUUGAUAAUUAAAUAAUUAUAAGGUUUAGCCUAUAAUCAUUCUUGUAUAUAAUUUACACCUCUAUUCACCAAAUAUUUCUUCAUACAACAGUGUUCCAACAGUUCCAACUCAUCCCUCUCAGAUAUACUAAUCAUUUUCUAAGGCUAUAUCUUCACCAAAAAUAUAUCCUUAUUCUAUGUGUGGAUAAAAUGGUCUUAUUUUGCAUUCUUGAAAACGAUUUCAUAUUUUCUGAUUAUUAAAGUCCUUCGACCAGGACUAAGUGUAAUAUAUGCGUGUCUUUAAUUUUUUAGGUUUGUUGCCCGGUAAUUUAAGACAAGUAGACGCUGCUAAUUUAUUCAGCAUGCACCUUACACCUUUUAUAUAUAGUGUCCACACUCGUAGUUCAUUUAAGGCUGUUUUUAGAAGUAUAUAAGAUAUAGAGACCAUUAUCCUGAUUUUUAUUACUCCAACAUUGCAGCAUGUGUCUCGGAAAUUUCGGUAAUUUAGGUUAAAAAAAUGUCAGGCUGUAACAAACAUUAUCAGCUUUUUUUUUUUAAACAAGACAUCAUAUAACCUCAGAGCUAAACUGCAUGAUUGCUAUAUUUGUUAUAUAUAAAAUUAUAAAUAUAUAUUUUCUAUCAAUUUUGGACAUCAGAGAUU